rnacentral:rRNA from 1 species
AGAGUUUGAUCCUGGCUCAGGAUGAACGCUGGCGGCGUGCUUAACACAUGCAAGUCGAACGAAGCACUUUAAUUGAUUUCUUCGGAAUGAAGUUUUUGUGACUGAGUGGCGGACGGGUGAGUAACGCGUGGGUAACCUGCCUCAUACAGGGGGAUAACAGUUGGAAACGACUGCUAAUACCGCAUAAGCGCACAGGAUCGCAUGAUCCGGUGUGAAAAACUCCGGUGGUAUGGGAUGGACCCGCGUCUGAUUAGCCAGUUGGCAGGGUAACGGCCUACCAAAGCGACGAUCAGUAGCCGACCUGAGAGGGUGACCGGCCACAUUGGGACUGAGACACGGCCCAAACUCCUACGGGAGGCAGCAGUGGGGAAUAUUGCACAAUGGGGGAAACCCUGAUGCAGCGACGCCGCGUGAGCGAAGAAGUAUUUCGGUAUGUAAAGCUCUAUCAGCAGGGAAGAUAAUGACGGUACCUGACUAAGAAGCACCGGCUAAAUACGUGCCAGCAGCCGCGGUAAUACGUAUGGUGCAAGCGUUAUCCGGAUUUACUGGGUGUAAAGGGAGCGCAGGCGGUGCGGCAAGUCUGAUGUGAAAGCCCGGGGCUCAACCCCGGUACUGCAUUGGAAACUGUCGUACUAGAGUGUCGGAGGGGUAAGCGGAAUUCCUAGUGUAGCGGUGAAAUGCGUAGAUAUUAGGAGGAACACCAGUGGCGAAGGCGGCUUACUGGACGAUAACUGACGCUGAGGCUCGAAAGCGUGGGGAGCAAACAGGAUUAGAUACCCUGGUAGUCCACGC